rnacentral:rRNA from 1 species
UAAGCAUAUCAAUAAGCGGAGGAAAAGAAACCAACCGGGAUUGCCUCAGUAACGGCGAGUGAAGCGGCAAGAGCUCAAAUUUGAAAGCUGGCCCCUUCGGGGUCCGCGUUGUAAUUUGCAGAGGAUGCUUCGGGUGCGGCCCCUGUCUAAGUGCCCUGGAACGGGCCGUCAGAGAGGGUGAGAAUCCCGUCUUGGGCAGGGUGCCCGUGCCCGUGUGAAGCUCCUUCGACGAGUCGAGUUGUUUGGGAAUGCAGCUCUAAAUGGGUGGUAAAUUUCAUCUAAAGCUAAAUACCGGCCGGAGACCGAUAGCGCACAAGUAGAGUGAUCGAAAGAUGAAAGGCACUUUGAAAAGAGAGUUAAACAGCACGUGAAAUUGUUGAAAGGGAAGCGCUUGCGACCAGACUCGGCCCCGGGGUUCAGCCAGCACUCGUGCUGGUGUACUUCCCCGGGGGCGGGCCAGCGUCGGUUUGGGCGGCCGGUCAAAGGCCCCAGGAAUGUAUCGCCCUCCGGGGUUGUCUUAUAGCCUGGGGUGCAAUGCGGCCAGCCCGGACCGAGGAACGCGCUUCGGCACGGACGCUGGCGUAAUGGUCGCAAACGACCCGUCUUGAAACACGGACCAAGGAGUCUAACAUCUACGCGAGUGUUCGGGUGUCAAACCCGUACGCGCAGUGAAAGCGAACGGAGGUGGGAGCCCCCCCGGGGCGCACCAUCGACCGAUCCUGAUGUCUUCGGAUGGAUUUGAGUAAGAGCGUAGCUGUGGGGACCCGAAAGAUGGUGAACUAUGCCUGAAUAGGGCGAAGCCAGAGGAAACUCUGGUGGAGGCUCGCAGCGGUUCUGACGUGCAAAUCGAUCGUCAAAUUUGGGUAUAGGGGCGAAAGACUAAUCGAACCAUCUGGUAGCUGGUUCCUGCCGAAGUU